AGCUCACAAACGAAUUCACUCAUAGCCUCUCAAACAAAAUGCCACAUAUCCAGCAUUACACUAUUGAUUCUUCCAACUAUGGAUGUUCUUCGACAAGUUGACAAAGAAGCCGUUGUUUUAUACGACACAGCCGCUUUCAAAAUGAAAUACAAGAUCGGUCGAAAGGCGCGCCUCAACAAUGGAUGGAAAGAGUUUGUUGAUGCAAAAGGCCUAAGGGAAGGGGAUGAUUUGCGUUUUCAAGUUUGUUAUCUAGAGGAUCGCCUCUACUUCAUUGUUACUAAAGUGGAGGAGCCGGAGAUCAUAGAUGUUGAUUAGGUCGUCUCUUUCUAUUUAUGAAAAAUGAAGUUUGGUUUGGUUU